UUGAGCCGUAUGCGCUGAAAGGUGCACGUACGGUUCUAGGAGGGGGAAAAUCCGUAAGGAUCUACCU
rnacentral:ncRNA from 1 species